AAAGUGACUCUGCUGAGACAAUUGAACUGAAACCCCUGACCACAAGCGAAACAGAAAAUUUAAAUUUGAGAUCAGACGGUACGACCGCCAGACGGAGAAAUGUGUCAUUUAAGACUUUUAUUCAGAAAAUACAGUUCAAGCGAGAAGACUCCUCAACAAGCGUAAAAACUUUCAGCGAGAAGCUAAGCAGCUUCCGCAAAACAGAGAAAAGCUACGUUGAAUCCUCAUCAGUCUCAACAGAUGAUAGCGCAG